CAUGUCGAGUGCUGUGAGUAUUCCAUUCAUUUAGACAACUACGUUUCCAAGAUCAUCAAGAGGUGUGUUGUUUUCCUUGAGAAAAUCAUCAAUUUGUUUUAGCAUUGGUCAAAUCUGUUUGUUGAUCUGAGAUUUUGUAUUCUUGCAUCACCAGAUCAUAGUGUGACAGAUGGGAGAACACACACACACCUCAAUGGAUGACAUAUUAUAAUUACGGAGACUAGUUGUAAGGAUAAUGGAGUGCAAUUUUCUGAUUCAGUGAUCUGCAGGUUUGAAGAACUAAUAUUGUGUAGAAAAUGGCAAUCGAAUUAUUUAGAUUUAAUAAAUUAGAUUUAAGGAUAAAUUAGUUGGUGCAUUUCAUUAUCAAGGACUAAUAGUAUCAAUAUACUAGGAGCAAUAUGUAGCAAACAAUUCAAAAUUUAAGGAAUGAUCCAUCUUACCCCUCAAGAAGAAGGAAUAAUCCAUUUUAAUAUGUUCCUUUAUAUAUGCGGAGAACUUCUUAGUAGUUCGUAUGUCAAGAUGUUUGGAUACUGAAUAAUGGUGCUCUUUCUAAUAAUCAGGCAGACUGUACCCAUUGCCAGUUUAUGUGUGUCUGUAAUUUUUUUGUGGUAUAUCGAGCAAUUGUCCUUGAAAAAUUGAAAUAACUGAGAUAUCCACAGAAAUGAAAGCUGCAGCCUGCAGCGAUAUGGUUCCUAAUUCAUAUAACGUAGAGAGGACGUUAGGAGUGGAAUGGUCAUCACUUAUUGUAGCAGUUUUCUGAAAAAGUAACAUCUUUUCAUGCAGUGACAUUAAUGUGGCCAUUGAGAAUUUGAGAAGUAAUUUUCAGGAAAAGUGUAUCUUUCAUCUUGCAUAAAGAUUGCAUCCUUAACUUCUCUUUCUUUCCAGUUCUACUAAUUUUCUGUUUGGUAGGUGGGUACCAUAUCAUUUUUUUUAUUUAGGAAACAUUAUUUAGGGUUAAGUCUUGGUUGGUGAACUGUUCCUCAGCUAUGAACUCUUUUUUACAUUCACCAAAUGUUAUUGGAACUAUGUAUAGUUCCUCUUGAGCGUGAUUAUUCAACAAUUUAGAACUGUAAAUGAUAUGUUCUUGAAGAAUAUAAAGUAAAAGUAGUAUUGUCAUGUACUUUGGUUUAACCUACAGUGUAAUUUUUGUUAACACAUAGUCUGUGUUUCACUAAUGUGAACUAAGACUUUCAUGUACUGUGUAUGACAGCUGCAUUUGUACCGACUGAUUAUAAUGUGCUUUGCUGCAUUUGUACCGACUGAUUAUAAUGUGCUUUGCUUCUCAUCGCACAACUGAUAAUUUUCUGAAAUACUCACUCUAUUUUAAUCAAGGCGUUGCAGGUGUUGUCACUGUAGGAGGUAAGUUUUGCAGCCAAAAUGCACCACUGAUUGCGUCUGGACAAUCGAGGAAUAGCACAAUAAAUUCUUCUUCUUUUCCAUUAACUUGCAGCUUAGGAUUUGGCUAAUAUUUUGCAUCUUAUACUAUUAUAAUUUUGAUGACUAGUUCUAAUAUAGAAUAGCCUCCUUUUGUCUGUAACAGGUACUUGAUUGUUUGAGUAGCCACUCGUAGGGUCUGCUUUUUUCUAGUAGUUUCAUGCCAGGUUCUGUAAAGUUCAUUUGAUAAUUUUGCUUGGUAAAUGAAAAGGUUCAUUUUUUUUCAAUGACUGAACAAAAACUUGACCACCGACAGUUCUAGUCCUUUACUGUUUGGACUCUACGAUAUUAAUUGACUUCCCUAAACAUGUGUAACCGGCCCUGAUUUAUUGCUUAACUUACUUGGGAAGUGAAACACAAACCAAAGGAACUCUGAAUAAGCAUAGCUCAUAGCUCAGCUCUAAAAUUUUACUGUGCCAAUCUUGAGAUAUCUGCAUGGAGUUCUUUUUCUACAUACUUUUAGUCAUUCUGAAUUUUUCAUAUGACCUUCCUGAAAUUGUGUGCACUUUGUUUUUUCUACAUGAAUCCUGUACAAUACAUGUACUUGUCAAUUGACUUAAUUUCCUCUUCAGGUUGUCAACGUUGCUGCAAGGCUGGACAAGUCACCUUUUUGAAACCAUUUUGCUUCACUCGUUUUGAAGACCAUAUACAAGUUUCAUUUUUACUUUAUAUUUUAUUGACCAGAAAGGCUACAAAGUACGGGUGCUAAAUUAGAAUGGACUUUUCAUAUGUAGCCAGUAUGUUGCACAUAUCUUACUUGUGGAAAUGAUUUAUUACAAGGGUUGUAAUAUUAUAAAUGUGAAGGACAUAUGUUGAAUUUUCUAUUGUUGGGUAUGAAUGGAUUUGAAUGCUAAGUUGAGAUAUCUGUUUAUGCCUAU
rnacentral:lncRNA from 1 species